rnacentral:misc_RNA from 1 species
GUUGGGGGUAGAGGGGCUGUGCAUAUCCCUUCCAGUUGGGGUGAUACCGUAACUCGACAAAUGGGAGUCAAGCAGGAGAGGGGUCCAGAUCUUUGUCAACAACAUAUACAUUGAAAGGUAACCAACUAAUCCUUAAGCUUUACGCCUUUACCAGCAUAAAGAAUGUGCAUCACCCAUGCCAAGACUAGGAACAAAACCCACUUGAGCAUUCUCCAAACAAGACAAAUUAUUUACUCCUUGGAAGGAGAUCCAUAAAGUAUACAUCUUCAGUUUACAUAAUAUAUGGUUUAGAGGUACGAACAUUUACCACAACUGAAAGGAUGUAAAAUUCGCUAAUAUCAACGAUUGUUCCUCUCACGAGCUAAUUCUCGUGCCAUCUCCCUUAGCUCCUCUGGUGAUGGAGGCCUUGGUGCCUCUGCGGGAUAAACUAUGUAUGAACG